rnacentral:rRNA from 1 species
GUCGAACGAAGUAGCAAUACUUAGUGGCAGACGGGUGAGUAACAUGUAGGUAUCUACCCUUUGGCCUGGAAUAACACGAGGAAACUUGUGCUAAUACCGGAUAAGUCUUUACGGAGAAAGCUUUAUGCACCAUUGGAUGAGCCUGCACUUGAUUAGUUUGUUGGUGGGGUAAUGGCCUACCAAGACUGUGAUCAAUAGCUGAUUUGAGAGGACGAUCAGCCACAUUGGGACUGAGACACGGCCCAAACUCCUACGGGAGGCAGCAGUGGGGAAUCUUGCACAAUGGAGGAAACUCUGAUGCAGCGAUGCCGCGUGAGUGAAGAAGGCCUUUGGGUUGUAAAGCUCUUUCGUCGGGGAAGAAAAUGACUGUACCCGAAUAAGAAGGUCCGGCUAACUUCGUGCCAGCAGCCGCGGUAAUACGAAGGGACCUAGCGUAGUUCGGAAUUACUGGGCUUAAAGAGUUCGUAGGUGGUUGAAAAAGUUAGUGGUGAAAUCCCAGAGCUUAACUCUGGAACUGCCAUUAAAACUUUUCAGCUAGAGUAUGAUAGAGGAAAGCAGAAUUUCUAGUGUAGAGGUGAAAUUCGUAGAUAUUAGAAAGAAUACCAAUUGCGAAGGCAGCUUUCUGGAUCAUUACUGACACUGAGGAACGAAAGCAUGGGUAGCGAAGAGGAUUAGAUACCCUCGUAGUCCAUGCCGUAAACGAUGUGUGUUAGACGUUGGAAAUUUAUUUUCAGUGUC